UCUGUAGUACUCUACAUGAACCUUUUGAUUUUAUCUAUGUUUUUAAGAGUUGUUUGCAUUUUUUGAUGGGAUAAUAAAAAGGUACAAAAUGUUUUCGGAAAAUGUUACUUGACUAAAGGUAAGUCAAAGUUUGAGUUGAUAUGCUUCAUGUGUACUAAAGCAUUUGUAAUUGAAAGAUCCGUUGACUAAAAGUAAGUCGAAGGUUGUGUUUGAAAUGCUUCAUGUGUACUAAAGCAUUUUCAAGUGUAGUUGAAAGAUCCAUUUACUAAAGGUAAGUCAAGGUGAAUGGGUGUUUAGUUUGAAAAGGGGGUAGGGUCAAUGCAUGAAUGGGCAAAUAAAAUCAACAAACAAAUAGACAAUAUAUGACUAAGAAGUCAACAUAAGAUCCUUUCCCUUGGAUUUAGGUAAAUAAAGAUACAUAAUUGGUAAGCCAUAACAAGCUACUCACAUGUUUUUGAAGUAUGAUGAUCAUAAACAAGACAUGACAAAGUUUACAUAACACCACAAGAGAUGACACAUGAACAUGUAUGAGAUACGUAUUCAAUCAUCAUGGGAGUUUAAUAAAGGAAAUACUUGGAUGAAGUGAUAAACAAUUACAAGAUAUGGAUAUAAAAUCACAAAAUGGAUAGAAUUACAAGACAUGAUUUAAGCAAGUGUACAUUACUCAAACAAGGGUAUCAAACCACAUAAGACAAGUAUCAUAAUCAAGAUAUUGGUUGUCAAGUCAAGUUGUGAUGAGAGAAGGAUAUUCAAAACAUGGAUCAUAUGAACAUGGUAUGGACAAAGUAAAAUCUUAAAUGUAUCACUAUGCAUACAAGUUAAAUAAGAGGCAAGAGCACAUUAGGGACAAGUUUAGACCUAAACCCUACUCAUGUCAUGAAUAAGAAACGAGCAAGUGGAAACCCUAAUCAUCUCCUAACCAUUCAUUCAAGCAUGUUUUCAAGGUGAAUCAAUUUAGACAUGAUAUGAAAAUAAUCAAGUUUAAACAUGUUAAGUACAACAAUCAACACUUGAAAGAGUGUGCUAUGAUCAUACAAACUUUCAACAACAAGGUAAAACAAAAGAUAAACCAAAGAGAUUGAUUAGGAUCCUUAAAAACACCUAAAAAGCACAUGUUUUAUAUCCAAUAAAAAGUGGUAAAAUAAAUAAUGUUUUUUUGGAUUUUUUCAUAUCAUCAUAAAUAGACAUACUUAUGAACUCAUGGCAAAAAGAAUGGGUCAAAAGGUUAAGGGAUCAUGAAGUUAUGAAUUUUGAAGUUAUGAAGAAAAAUGUAGAUUUCACUUUGCAAAACUUUUAAAACAACAUCAAAAUACAUAACUAAUUGAUCCUUAACACACACUUAGUUUAUCAUAAACAUUAAACUAACAAAACCUAAUUUUUCUUCUUGAUUGGAGUGUUCUUCUUUUUUGGAAAUUUCUUUUUGGUUAGAAUUUUUCUCUAAAUUAGUGUUUGUUUAGUGGUUGUAGUUUGUUAAGAUAAUUGUGAUGCACUAAGUCUAGUUAUAGGUCUUACAUUUAGCCAAGUUAAUAUGUUCUUUCUUAGUCUUCUUGUAGGUCUUAUAUUUAGCCAACUUAAUAUGUCUUUUUCUUAGUCUUGUUGUAGGCCUUAGGGGUCCAAAACUUGUUAUUUCUCUUCCAAUGUUCAUUUUUUUCACCUUUGUUGUUGCUUGUGAAUGUGUACCAUUAGUAUACUUUAAAACUUGAGUAUGACUUUGUGUUUGUACUCCAUAAGUAAGUUCAUUAUUCCCCUAAUAUUAUGUCCCUUCAGUUGGAUGAGAUUGAGGUGGAUCUUUUCAUGUUGACUUAUUAUUACCAUUUUUUUUCAUCUUAUGCACCUAACAUGUAAUUCAAUCCUUCUAAUCUUAUGAUUCAAUUUAUUCUAUUUUGUGGAUCACAUAAAUAAUGUUUCUUGACCUAUAGGUUAGAACUAUUAAUAAUAUAUAUACAUAAUAAGGUUGUAGACUACCUGAAUUAGGCCAUUUUGUUAAUCACAAGAAUGUACUUUUCUACUUUAUAGUUCUUGCUCUUCAUGUCAGUAAUUUAGUGAAGGCAAGGAAAACCUAAAAGUAUUUGUUUCAUCCAUGGAAAGUCAUGUGCUUGCAUGUUGACACAAAGUAUAUCUCCAAUUUUUUUUCUAGUGUCUAACAUAAAAAAUAUACUCACUGAAUAUUAUACUACAUGAAUCAAAAAACAUAAAGCGUGUAAGUACUAUAGUGAGCACUUAAUCAACACAUAUAAAGUAUGUCAGUGAAACAUUAUAAUGAACACAUAUAAAUACCUUACAAUCCACAAAUUAGUGUUUUGAUGACUAUCUCAAUAUACAUAUUAAAAAAACAUCAUACAACUUAAACAAACAAUAUGCAUAGCCACAUUUUAAUGUUGGAUAAAAUGUCUUAAUUACCAGGGUUAGAAAAUCUCAUCUUAUUCUUUGUCCACCUUUCCAUCAUGUAUGUUCUGAUUGCCUCGAUCAUAAUAACUAUUGAGUUAGGUCUAGCGUCAAUAAUGACAAUGUUAAAUGAUACUUACAUCUUAUCUAACAUAAUAAACCCUACAUUCAUAAAUUGUUUAUUCUUAAAUCGUACACAUUUUAUAACCUUACAUUCAUAAAUCUUCAAAAAAAUCCCUAAAUCUUCGAAAGUUUGGUGUCUUAUCCUCAACCAAAUUAGGGUUAUUUUAUGAGUUAAUGAUUUGGAAUCCAUAUAGUGUCCACUUUGCACUUACGAAUUACACUUUUUCAUCUCGUAUUCCACAUCAUUGCCAAUUAAACAAGUUUAUUGAUAUUGACUACGAUAAUAGACAAAACAAAUUAUAAACAUAAUGCAUUUUAAAAAGUAUGAAAAUAUAUUUAACUCAAUUAAUAUUUAAAAGCAAAUACAAAUGUAAAAGAUUAACUUAGUCUAUGUUGUUUUCACUUAUCAUCAUAGAACCAAAAUAAACAAUAAGGAGAAGAAUUGGUACUCUUAAAUUUAUUCAAAUGAUUAAUAAUAUCCAUAAAUAUAAAUCAUUUUCAAAGAUUUAUAUAUUAAAAACAUAUAUUUUCUAGAUAUUUUGAAUAAAAAAUAUAUGAGAUAUUAUAUUUUCAUUAUUUUUUAAGAGUUGUUUGCAUUUUUGAUGGGAUAAUAAAAGGGGUACAAAAUGUUUUCGGAAAAUGUUACUUGACUAAAGGUAAGUCAAAGUUUGAGUUGAUAUGCUUCAUGUGUACUAAAGCAUUUGUAAUUGAAAGAUCCGUUGACUAAAAGUAAGUCGAAGGUUGUGUUU
rnacentral:lncRNA from 1 species